GACGAACGCUGGCGGCGUGCCUAAUACAUGCAAGUCGAGCGAACAUUUGAGAGCUUGCUCUCAAAUGUUAGCGGCGGACGGGUGAGUAACACGUGGGUGACCUGCCUCUAGCUCUGGGAUAAGCCUGGGAAACUGGGUCUAAUACCGGAUAUGACUCCACGGCGCAUGUUGUGGGGUGGAAAGCCUUGUGUGGCUAGAGAUGGGCCCGCGGCCUAUCAGCUUGUUGGUGGGGUGAUGGCCUACCAAGGCGACGACGGGUAGCCGGCCUGAGAGGGCGACCGGCCACACUGGGACUGAGACACGGCCCAGACUCCUACGGGAGGCAGCAGUGGGGAAUCUUGCGCAAUGGGCGAAAGCCUGACGCAGCGACGCCGCGUGAGGGAUGACGGCCU
rnacentral:rRNA from 1 species